rnacentral:lncRNA from 1 species
AACAAUCAACAAUAUAAUCAUUUAUACAAGAAAAUGAUGCAUAAGCCCUACCAAUUCAAGGUAUACUUUAUAUUGAAGAAUCCUUCAUAUUCUAUCAUCAACAUUCAUGAGUGUCAAAUUGAGAAAUAAUCUUUCAAUAGCAACACCUUUACGUUCAUAACACGAUCACAUUAUCUUCAUUGAAUUCUCAUUCAUAUAAUGUCAUGAUAACACUCCAAUUUCUCAUACUAUGCCUUUAAGGCCCUAAGCCUCACAUACCAAUACACCAACAAUACAC